UACGUAGGCAGCAAGCGUUGUUCGGAAUCACUGGGCGUAAAGGGCGCGUAGGUGGCCUGAUAAGGGUGUGGUGAAAGUCCGGGGGCUCAACCCCCGGAUCUGCCGUGCCGACUGUUGGGCUGGAGUACUGUAGGGGCAGGCGGAAUUCCGGGUGUAGCGGUGGAAUGCGUAGAGAUCCGGAGGAAGACCGGUGGCGAAGGCGGCCUGCUGGGCAGUUACUGACACUGAGGCGCGACAGCGUGGGGGAGCAAACAGG
rnacentral:rRNA from 1 species